rnacentral:rRNA from 1 species
UACGUAGGGAGCAAGCGUUGUCCGGAUUUACUGGGUGUAAAGGGUGCGCAGGCGGGUUAGUAAGUCAGGGGUGAAAUCUCACGGCUCAACCGUGAAAUUGCCUUUGAUACUGCUAACCUUGAGUUCGGGAGAGGUCGAUGGAAUUCCAGGUGUAGCGGUGAAAUGCGUAGAUAUCUGGAAGAACACCAGUAGCGAAGGCGGUCGACUGGCCCGUAACUGACGCUCAGGCACGAAAGCGUGGGGAGCGAACAGG